UACGUAGGGAGCGAGCGUUGUCCGGAUUCAUUGGGCGUAAAGGGCGCGUAGGCGGCGGGGUAAGUCAGGUGUGAAAUCUCGGGGCUCAACCCCGAAACUGCACUUGAUACUGCCUCGCUUGAGUACUGGAGAGGAGACUGGAAUUUACGGUGUAGCAGUGAAAUGCGUAGAUAUCGUAAGGAAGACCAGUGGCGAAGGCGAGUCUCUGGACAGUUACUGACGCUGAGGCACGAAGGCCAGGGGAGCAAACGGG
rnacentral:rRNA from 1 species